rnacentral:rRNA from 1 species
AGAGUUUGAUCAUGGCUCAGAUUGAACGCUGGCGGAAUGCUUUACACAUGCAAGUCGAACGGCAGCACGGGUGCUUGCACCUGGUGGCGAGUGGCGAACGGGUGAGUAAUGCGUCGGAACGUACCGAGUAAUGGGGGAUAACGCGGCGAAAGUCGCGCUAAUACCGCAUACGCCCUGAGGGGGAAAGUGGGGGAUCGCAAGACCUCACGUUAUUCGAGCGGCCGACGUCUGAUUAGCUAGUUGGUGGGGUAAAGGCCUACCAAGGCGACGAUCAGUAGCGGGUCUGAGAGGAUGAUCCGUCACACUGGGACUGAGACACGGCCCAGACUCCUACGGGAGGCAGCAGUGGGGAAUUUUGGACAAUGGGGGCAACCCUGAUCCAGCCAUUCCGCGUGAGUGAAGAAGGCCUUCGGGUUGUAAAGCUCUUUCAGCUGGAACGAAACGGUACGCUCUAACAUAGCGUGCUAAUGACGGUACCGGCAGAAGAAGCACCGGCUAACUACGUGCCAGCAGCCGCGGUAAUACGUAGGGUGCGAGCGUUAAUCGGAAUUACUGGGCGUAAAGCGUGCGCAGGCGGACUGUUAAGCAAGACGUGAAAGCCCCGGGCUUAACCUGGGAAUGGCGUUUUGAACUGGCAGUCUAGAGUGCGUCAGAGGGGGGUGGAAUUCCACGUGUAGCAGUGAAAUGCGUAGAGAUGUGGAGGAACACCAAUGGCGAAGGCAGCCCCCUGGGAUGACACUGACGCUCAUGUACGAAAGCGUGGGUAGCAAACAGGAUUAGAUACCCUGGUAGUCCACGCCCUAAACGAUGUCAACUGGUUGUUGGGGGGAGUGAAAUCCCUUAGUAACGAAGCUAACGCGUGAAGUUGACCGCCUGGGGAGUACGGUCGCAAGAUUAAAACUCAAA